AGAGUUUGAUCAUGGCUCAGGACGAACGCUGGCGGCGUGCUUAACACAUGCAAGUCGAACGGAAAGGCCCUUCGGGGUGCUCGAGUGGCGAACGGGUGAGUAACACGUGGGUGAUCUGCCCUGCACUUUGGGAUAAGCCUGGGAAACUGGGUCUAAUACCGAAUAGGACUCCGCGCUUCAUGGCGUGGGGUGGAAAGCUU
rnacentral:rRNA from 1 species